ACACACGUUCCAGCUGACCUCCUACUAGGAUCUGCAGUUGAGAGAGAACAGAAAACACUCGAUUCUUGGAACUGCCCACGUGCAGUGUCUGAUGCAACCAAGUGUUGGGAACAUCCCUGAGAGCAGCUGAGGAGUUACGCCCUGUUGAGAUGGCUGGGACUGUUCACUUCUGAGCACAACCCUUUUAAGCUGUUAGCAGAGGUCAGGCAGAUGCUGUUCUACAACCACGAAGUCCAGAGACUUACCUGUACGUUAAUAGUCUCAGGCUUCACCUUAAUUGCAUGACUUAAGCAGAGCGCUGCUGCACAUGGAGGACAGUCCCUGUGUUCUGCCCCAGGGAUGGCUGCAGCUGAACAGAAGGUGCCAGGUUGAUGAUGCAGUUUCAGUGUGUUCCAACACUGCUACAGUCAAACAGCACAGACCUCGCUCCCCUGUGUGGUUUCACAGGACUGUGCAUCUGCAGCAUUUCUCCUCGCAUACUACAAGAACUUGCUGA
rnacentral:lncRNA from 1 species